CCUACGGGAGACAGCAGUAGGGAAUCUUUCACAAUGGGCGAAAGCCUGAUGGAGCAACGCCGCGUGCAGGAUGAAGGCCUUCGGGUUGUAAACUGCUUUUAUAAGCGAGAAAUAUGAUGGUAACUUAUGAAUAAGGAUCGGCUAACUACGUGCCAGCAGCCGCGGUCAUACGUAGGAUCCGAGCAUUAUCCGGAGUGACUGGGUGUAAAGAGUUGCGUAGGUGGCAUAAUAAGUAGCUAGUGAAAUCUGGUGGCUCAACCAUUCAGACUAUUAGCUAAACUGUUAAGCUCGAGACCGUUAGGGGUAACUGGAAGUUCUAGUGUAGGAGUGAAAUCCGUAGAUAUUAGAAGGAACACCAAUAGCGUAGGCAGGUUGCUGGGACGGUUCUGACACUAAGGCACGAAAGCGUAGGGAGCAAACGGGAUUAGAUACCCGGGUAGUC
rnacentral:rRNA from 1 species